AUCGAUCUGAAAGCAGAAGAAGAAAACGUUCGAAGUAAACAAAAGUGCGAAGUAAAAAAUGGAUAAUGAUGGCAACAUGACAAUAUACGAUAAUGUCGAUCAAUCAUUUCCAAGACUUCGUAAAACAUCGUGUUUUGAUUUAAAAUGUCAUUAUUGCGAAUGAGCCGCAAUAACAAUUGCCAGAUGUUGAGAUUAUAACCACAGGAAUAAUUAUGAUAACGUAAACAAAUUGAUCCUGUGUUACGUAAUAGGAUUUACGUAACACGUCACGUGCUCAAUUCUACGACGCACAGUAUCCGAGAUUCAAAGAACGCGGAGUAGUUCGUAUGUAAUUUGCUUGAAAAUGUAAUAAAACCAACGCGAUCACCGCAUUCACGCGGACUCUAUCCAUCUUGGAUACGUAAUUCCUUCGUCCUUCUAUUAAAAAUGUCAUUAUUUUCAAAACAGUUGGAUAAUAAUUCCGUUUAACUGUGACCACUUCAAUCGCUUUUUAAUUAUCGCCUGUGUAUUACCUGCGAUCUCGAAAAAAAAAGAAGUGUAAUUGCUAUUUGCCACAGCUGCGAUUAAAGUGUCAGCUGUAAUGAGAGGAUAAAAAAAUGUUUAGACAUAUCUAUGCCACUUGAGAUUCGCAAUAUUACCAGGUAAAUCGCGUUGUUUUAUUGCGGCUGACAACGUUUUACUGACGUAAAUGCACGUUUGCCAAACGCGCAUUUACUGACAUGCAAUGUAAAAACGCGGCAUUAUUUUCAACUAUAUACGUUCAAAGAAUUCAUUGCCAUGUUUAUUGAUGUCCACGAAAACGCUUAUUUGCACUUUUCAUAGCAAAACAACACAACAAGAACUUGUCUCACUCUUGAAUUAACAAAGCAAUAGAAUAUUUGCUUGCUUAUAAAAAAUUAUUUUGUCCAUCA